GUGCCAGCAGCCGCGGUAAUACGUAAGGGGCGAGCGUUGUUCGGAAUUAUUGGGCGUAAAGGGCGUGUAGGCGGUUCUGUAAGCCUGGUGUAAAAGGCUUCGGCUUAACCGGAGUUUGGCGCUAGGAACUGCGGGACUAGAGUUUAGGAGGGGGAGCUGGAAUUCCUGGUGUAGGGGUGAAAUCUGUAGAUAUCAGGAAGAACACCGGUGGCGAAGGCGAGCUCCUGGCCAUAGACUGACGCUGAGGCGCGAAAGCGUGGGGAGCGAACAGGAUUAGAUACCCUGGUAGUCCACGCUGUAAACGAUGUGCACUAGGUGUGGGUGUGUUGAAGCAUCCGUGCCGUAGCUAACGCGAUAAGUGCACCGCCUGGGGAGUAUGCUCGCAAGGGUGAAACUCAAAGGAAUUGACGGGG
rnacentral:rRNA from 1 species